GAUGAACGCUGGCGGCGUGCCUAAUACAUGCAAGUCGAGCGAACAGACGAGAGUGCUUGCACUCUCUGACGUUAGCGGCGGACGGGUGAGUAACACGUGGGUAACCUACCUAUAAGACUGGGAUAACUUCGGGAAACCGGAGCUAAUACCGGAUAAUAUUUAGCUUCGCAUGAAGCAAUAGUGAAAGACGGUUCUGCUGUCACUUAUAGAUGGACCCGCGGUGUAUUAGCUAGUUGGUGAGGUAACGGCUCACCAAGGCAACGAUACAUAGCCGACCUGAGAGGGGGAUCGGCCACACUGGGACUGAGACACGGCCCAGACUCCUACGGGAGGCAGCAGUAGGGAAUCUUCCGCAAUGGACGAAAGUCUGACGGAGCAAUGCCGCGUGAGUGAAGAAGGUUUUCGGAUCGUAAAACUCUGUUGUAAGGGAAGAACAAGUACGUUAGUAACUGAACGUACCUUGACGGUACCUUACCAGAAAGCCACGGCUAACUACGUG
rnacentral:rRNA from 1 species